rnacentral:rRNA from 1 species
GAUGAACGCUGGCGGCGUGCCUAAUACAUGCAAGUCGAGCGAACGGACGAGAAGCUUGCUUUUCUGAUGUUAGCGGCGGACGGGUGAGUAACACGUGGAUAACCUACCUAUAAGACUGGGAUAACUUCGGGAAACCGGAGCUGAUACCGGAUAAUAUUUUGAACCGCAUGGUUCAAAAGUGAAAGACGGUCUUGCUGUCACUUAUAGAUGGAUCCGCGCUGCAUUAGCUAGUUGGUAAGGUAACGGCUUACCAAGGCAACGAUGCAUAGCCGACCUGAGAGGGUGAUCGGCCACACUGGAACUGAGACACGGUCCAGACUCCUACGGGAGGCAGCAGUAGGGAAUCUUCCGCAAUGGGCGAAAGCCUGACGGAGCAACGCCGCGUGAGUGAUGAAGGUCUUCGGAUCGUAAACCUCUGUUAUUAGGGAAGAACAUAUGUGUAAGUAACUGUGCACAUCUUGACGGUACCUAAUCAGAAAGCCACGGCUAACUACGUG